AACACYUGGAGUAGAAACAGAGUUGGUUAUUGAUUAGUUUUAGAUUUGUUGAGGUUGAUUGUUUCCCUUCUUUCCUUCCAGGCUCCAUGUUUUCUCAAGCGAUGAAGAAAUGGGUUCAAGGCAACUCAAACGAGGCUCAGGAGGAGAUGGCGUGGCAGAUCGCCAAAAUGAUCGUCAACGACGUCGUCCACCAGUCAAACCACGACAGCCCCGGAAAGUCCACCAAGUUAUGACCCCACUAAGGAACCAAAGGUCCCUCACACCCUGCAGACACAGGCCAAGCCAGGGAUGAACUGUAGCCGGGCUUUACACCCCAACGAACUGCAUUACUCCUAAAAGGAACAAAGUAUUUUAUCACCUCCCCAGUUGAUGUGUGAGAGAGAGAAAGAGCGUGGAUGAGUGAUUGUUCAGGCCUGGACCAACUCAAAACUUGAAGUAAAACCAUUGUUCAAUCUUCCAACUCUGUAACACUAUGAAGCUGCAGCCGUAGGCGACCAGAGUGAAGGAAAAACACUCCUGUGGACAGAAACGACUGUCCUGUUCCCUGCCUCGUCUCCCAUCCCACGGAGGAUGUGACCAAGACUGAAGAGUGAAGCUCGCUGCCCCGUGGUACACGUCUCCACACCUUUUUUUAUAAUCAUCCUUUGAUUUUUACAUGACCUCCUCUUGCAGCGGUCCGUCACUUGGCGUGGUAUACAACUGAUUUUGUUUUUGUGGAUACUACUGGCACAGUCCAUGUGGAAUGAUUUCGUCAUCUCUUCACAGAAGUUCGGUGUCCUACGUUGWCCGUUAAUGUACUGUAGAACACCUCGCAAUAGACGGUGACAGAAGAAGAGCAGGUUUAUUUCUUUGACUGUCUUCGUUCACAUAAAAGCACCUUUACAGAGCGUAGAAUAAAUACUCCCUAAUGAACUUAAAGUGCUCCAGCUGUGUUGGAAAACUCCCAACUUUGUGACCUAAAGGUUCUACACACAUAUAUAAAUAA